UACGUAGGGGGCUAGCGUUGUCCGGAAUCAUUGGGCGUAAAGCGCGUGUAGGCGGUCCGGUAAGUCCGCUGUGAAAGCCAGGGGCUCAACCCUUGGAUGCCGGUGGAUACUGUCGGGCUUGAGUACGGAAGAGGCGAGUGGAAUUCCGGGUGUAGCGGUGGAAUGCGUAGAGAUUCGGAAGAACACCGGUGGCGAAGGCGGUGUGCUGGGCCGUAGCUGACGCUGAGGCGCGACAGCGUGGGGAGCAAACAGG
rnacentral:rRNA from 1 species